rnacentral:rRNA from 1 species
UGGGGAAUAUUGCACAAUGGGCGCAAGCCUGAUGCAGCCAUGCCGCGUGUGUGAAGAAGGCCUUCGGGUUGUAAAGCACUUUCAGCGAGGAGGAAGGUGGUGAACUUAAUACGUUCAUCAAUUGACGUUACUCGCAGAAGAAGCACCGGCUAACUCCGUGCCAGCAGCCGCGGUAAUACGGAGGGUGCAAGCGUUAAUCGGAAUUACUGGGCGUAAAGCGCACGCAGGCGGUUUGUUAAGUCAGAUGUGAAAUCCCCGGGCUCAACCUGGGAACUGCAUUUGAAACUGGCAAGCUAGAGUCUCGUAGAGGGGGGUAGAAUUCCAGGUGUAGCGGUGAAAUGCGUAGAGAUCUGGAGGAAUACCGGUGGCGAAGGCGGCCCCCCUGGACGAAGACUGACGCUCAGGUGCGAAAAGCGUGGGGAGCAAAACAGGAUUAGAUACCCUGGUAGUCCACGCUGUAAAACGAUGUCGAUUUGGAGGUUGUGCCCUUGAGGCGUGGCUUCCGGAGCUAACGCGUUAAAAUCGACCGCCUGGGGAGUACGGCCGCAAGGUUAAAAACUUAAAAUG